rnacentral:lncRNA from 1 species
UGGAGGUGUGCAAAGAAUUCUUUGAUCAACCAUAUGUGGAGAAAGUCAAAGUUUACUCUGAAUCAGAUGCUCCACUUCCUUUUCCUCAUGGAUAUCGCAAGAACAAAGCCGAUAAGAAUGAAUAUUUGAUCAUGUCGCCUCCUGGAACCACUGGAAAUGUUUUCCCUACCAAUCCACCAAAAUACCAGUACGAAUUCCGUGACAAAACUUAAUUGGUUUUCUUAUGCUCGUUCUCACAAAAUUAGAGUUUUCAUCAUUCUUCCUUUU